UCUCAUGGGCGCCCAUGGG
rnacentral:miRNA from 1 species